AAUAGAUACCCAGGUAGUCCACGCUGUAAACGAUGAAUGCUAGCCGUAGGGGUGCAUGCACUUCUGUGGCGCCGCUAACGCAUUAAGCAUUCCGCCUGGGGAGUACGGUCGCAAGAUUAAAACUCAAAGGAAUUGACGGGGGCCCGCACAAGCGGUGGAGCAUGUGGUUUAAUUCGAUGCAACGCGAAGAACCUUACCAGGGUUUGACAUGUCCAGAAUUCUUCAGAAAUGGGGAAGUGCCAUUCUCAUACAAGAGAAAUGGAACUGGAGCACAGGUGGUGCAUGGCUGUCGUCAGCUCGUGCGUUGACGUGUACGGUUAAGUCCUGCAACGAGCGCAACCCUGUCUUUAGUACCUUCAUGGUUCUCUAAAGAGACUGCGCGCGCAAGCGCUGAGGAAGGUGAGGAUGACGUCAAGUCAGCAUGCCCCUUAAAUCCUGGGCGACACACGUAAUCAAUGGCUGAGACAAUCAGAAGCUAACUCGCGAGAGCAUGA
rnacentral:rRNA from 1 species